CAGAAAAGAGUCCGGAUGGAAACGGCCAUCAGGGGACUGACUGGUGCGCUGUACUGUAGUCAAUGGCAGAGGGAUUCCUAAUGCUUUGGCAUCAGGUGGCUGUCCAGUCAGGGUAGGUGGGGAUCUCCUACCCUGUGCUUUAGAUGCAGCUGAUCUUUAUGAUGCGGAGACAGGCUCAUCAUUGACCAGACAGUCCUCAUUCGGCAGAGAUCCUUUUGCAUCUGAGGAACAGAGAGCUCAUGCACAGGGACGUUUCUCAGAAGCUGUUGGAGAUCUCUCAGCAUUGUCUGACCACACAGUCAACAAUAAUCCUGGGCCAUUAGAGGAUGCUCUGCAGCAUCUUAUCCAUGUUUCAACAUACACACGCAGCCACUGGAGACAGGCGAAAGAGCCGGAAGAGGAAGGCCACUGAUCACCGGUAUGCAGUGCCUUCUUGCCCCAAGGCUCUAAAGACCAAGCUCAAUGCUGCAGCGUGAGAAGAUCAAUGGGAAAGGAGGGCCAAGAAGAACAUGACUGCUCUUCUGGAGGAGCUGAAAGAUAAAAAUGCAGAAUAAAGAUUACAAUACAAGUAUAAACCAUAAUUAAGAAUAGUAAGACACUAAAUAACCUUUGAUUAAAAAGACAGCUAGCAGACAAUUUUCGUGCCCGAGAUUUAGAAAUCAAUAAAUUCAAAAGCUUAACAUGAUACUGUGCAGCUAGUUAGAGAUAUUGGUCAUCAACCUUUAAUCUUGUUUUUUUUUUUUAAGAAGGCUAGAUUAACUUAAAAAUUGCCCACUCCAUUGUUGUAACUUCAGUUGGUUAUGGGACACUGCAAAAAUCCUGGAAAAUGAUUUAUUGAAAAGAGUGGGAACCCUGUUUUAUUUUUCUUUAUUCAUUAUUUAUUUUUUGUUCAAUUGUCAUUAUUUGUUUUUUCAUUUUCGCAUUACUUUUUCUUAUUUAUUCAUCAUCAUUUAUUUAUUUUGUCUAUUUGAAUAUUGUAAAUAUUAAAGAUUGACAGUA